UGGGGAAUAUUGCACAAUGGGCGCAAGCCUGAUGCAGCCAUGCCGCGUGUAUGAAGAAGGCCUUCGGGUUGUAAAGUACUUUCAGCGAGGAGGAAGGCGUUGUGGUUAAUAACCGCAGCGAUUGACGUUACUCGCGGAAGAAGCACCGGCUAACUCCGUGCCAGCAGCCGCGGUAAUACGGAGGGUGCAAGCGUUAAUCGGAAUUACUGGGUGUAAAGCGCACGCAGGCGGUCUGUCAAGUCGGAUGUGAAAUCCCCGGGCUCAACCUGGGAACUGCAUCCGAAACUGGCAGGCUAGAGUCUUGUAGAGGGGGGUAGAAUUCCAGGUGUAGCGGUGAAAUGCGUAGAGAUCUGGAGGAAUACCGGUGGCGAAGGCGGCCCCCUGGACAAAGACUGACGCUCAGGUGCGAAAGCGUGGGGAGCAAACA
rnacentral:rRNA from 1 species